GAUGAACGCUGGCGGCGUGCCUAAUACAUGCAAGUCGAGCGAAGCGGGGACGGGUGAGUAACACGUAGAUAACCUCCUAUAAGACGGGGACAACUUCCGGAAACCGGUGCUAAACCGGCUACUUAUCGCUGGCUCCGCGCUGCAUUAGCUAGUUGGUAAGGUAACGGCUUACCAAGGAAACGAUGCAUAGCCGACCUGAGAGGGUGAUCGGCCACACUGGAACUGAGACACGGUCCAGACGCCUACGGGAGGCAGCAGUAGGGAAUCUUCCGCAAUGGGCGAAAGCCUGACGGAGCAACGCCGCGUGAGUGAUGAAGGUCUUCGGAUCGUAAAGCUCUGUUAUUAGGGAAGCGGUACCUAAUCAGAAAGCCACGGCUAACUACGUGCCAGCAGCCGCGGUAAUAC
rnacentral:rRNA from 1 species